ensembl:lncRNA novel transcript
CUUCUGGGGUUCUUUGGCUGAGACUGGGCCAGUGAGCAGCUGAGACUGGAGAUGGGUGAGAGCUGGAACAUCUGCUGCUUCUUUUGGAAAGGGCAGGCUUCAGAAAAGGAAGUCAGAGAUACGAAGAAUGAGAGGGAUUUGAUGCACAGUCACUAGCUUGAAGAUUGGAGGGGCCAUAUGGCAGGUCUGCAGGUGUCCUCCAGGAGUUGAAAGUAUCCUCUUACUGACAGUGGCAUGGAAAUAGUGACCUCAGUCUUACAACCACGGGGAACUGAAUUUUGUCAACAACAAGAAUGGGUUUAUAAGCAGAUUUUUACCCAACCUCCCCGCCAAGACAAGAACUAAGCUCAGAUGACAACUUGAUUUCAACCUAUGAAACCCCAAGCAGAAAACUCAGCCACACUGUGUCAUUCUGACCUAGAGGACUAAGAACAAGUUCACCAUUCAAUUGAAGUAAUUUGUUACAUGGCAAGAGCAGACCAACAUGAAUACCAUCUAUGUGCUGAUGAC